GUGGUUAGGUCUACUAGUGACCGGUAGUGGUUAGGUCUACUAGUUACCGGCAGUGGUUAGGUCUACUAGUUACCGGCAGUGGUUAGGUCUACUAGUGACCGGUAGUGGUUAGGUCUACUAGUUACCGGCAGUGGUUAGGUCUACUAGUUACCGGCAGUGGUUAGGUCUACUAGUUACCGGCAGUGGUUAGGUCUACUAGUUACCGGCAGUGGUUAGGUCUACUAGUUACCGGCAGUGGUUAGGUCUACUAGUUACCGGCAGUGGUUAGGUCUACUAGUUACCGGCAGUGGUUAGGUCUACUAGUUACCGGCAGUGGUUCUGACCUGGUAGAGGUGGUAACUGUUUCUCCUCCCUGGUGACCGGCUGCUCCAGGGGUUUUGGCAGGGCAGGAACCUCC